UAUUUCAUGAUGGACGAAUGUAGUGCGAGUUAUAAAUAGACAAUUUUUCCCUUAAUUUUUUUCUCCCCUCUUCCUGCAUUUUUGGGUUGACUUUUUGGUCUAGAAUUGGAGAAAAGGGAUCAAAUUUGCAAUUUCAUAGCAGUUUUGGGUUAUACUGAUGAUAUUACAGCGGAGGGAUAGGGGGUGUAAAGUGUCUUUCUGCAGAGCAAUCAUUGUGUCGGAAGUGAGAUUUCCACCCCUGUCAACUUCAAAUCUGUGUAGCAAAAAAUCUAAAUGGUCAACCCCCUACAAAAUUAUGAUGAGGAGAUUGCCAAAUGUUGUCCCCAUUGUGCCUAUAAAGAUUGGAACCAACGGAAUGUUGAGCAAAAAGCUACAGCCUGUGAUGUUACAGUCAUUUAACAUUGAAGUCAAUGGGCAAAUAAUUGCUAGUCUGAGACCUGAUGAAAUAAUGAAGCAUGGCCGACUCGGGAUGUUGAUAUUUUUUCAACGGCUUGUUUCCUGAAGUUUUGAAUGGAAAGUGUCAGAAAUGGUGCCCAGGUAAUGUUUCAUAGAGUGGAAUGAUUGACCUCAACACAAGUAUUAAAAAAAAAGAAGCAAAACAGGUCUACAUCUCAAAACCUGAUCUCUUCCUGAACUGGCUUUAGGAGAACGAUGAUGCAUAUCAAUUUCAUCCCUGAUCUCUAUGACACCUGUGGUGGAAGUGGAGGGCAAAUCGUAAUCAGUUUGGGUUCCAGCCCCGAGGACCUUUGUAAACUUUGCUUUUUGGUGAUGACUUAAUUUCCGAGCUUGAAAAGGACGCUUGUGUGUUUAUCAUGGCCUCUCAUAUUGGAAGAUAACAUCAAUGGCUUGUGUGUUGAUCGACGGUUGUGCAUAUCUCUUGGUCAGGAAAGUUGUAGGCACCAUCGCCAUUGUAAAUCAUUUGACAGGCCCGAGUGAACGGGGCGACCUAUGAUUGGUCAGCAAUGUAUCAGAUUCCAUACCGGGGGGUGGGGAUGAAAAAACUGUUGUAGUGUUACAUAAUCAGAUUAUUUCAACUUACUUAUCCUGUGGAAAUACAGCUAUAUAGGAGAUAUUUUGAAAUUCAUAGGCACUGCAUGUUUCAACAUUUUAGAUUUGACCACAAUUUGGCACUUGAAACUAUGUUAACAGAGAAAAACUGUGUGGUUUUCGAUGAAAGUGUUAAAAGUCUAAUAUUGCAUCAUGAUUACUGUUUUAAAAUAUU